rnacentral:misc_RNA from 1 species
CGCACCUUGCGCUCCUUGGUAUUCCGAGGAGCAUGCUUGUUUGAGUGUCAUGGUAUUCUCAACCUUCCUGCUUUUUUAAUUAAAAGUGGGUCGGCUUGGACUUGGAGGCUUGCAGGCUACUGGAGAUUUUUUAUUAAAUCUCUAGAGGUCAGCUCCUCUUAAAUGCAUUAGCUUGAAUAGAACCAAGCAUGAUUCAACGUGAUAAUUGUCUACGUUGCUUCAUCUCGGUGAAUAUAAUGUUCAAGCUUCUAAUCGUCCUUAGGGACACUUAUCUGAACAUCUGACCUCAAAUCAAGUAGGACUACCCGCUGAACUUAA